AAUGAUGAACCCUAAAUUGGAAGGAUUGUGAAAGGGGGAGAGAUUUGGAAGCAUUUGGGAUCCCAAAUAAAGAACGAAAUUGGAAAGCCACGUGAAACCAAAAAACAGAGUCGAGACUGGAGAGCGUAGUCCGAGCAAGCCGCCAGGUGUUCCUAUGGCGUAAUUUGUACAAGAUUCACGCCUUCCACGUCCGGCGCUGACAAAACAACGAACACCAAUCCCUUCCUCGCGCUCUGCUCGAUUCCCGAGAGAAUCGAAUCCCAAUUCCGACCCUCCACGCUGCAAUUCUCUGUGACUGCGAACUGACAGUCACCCAUUAAUGGAUUCCCGGCAAUUGGCUGCUUUACUCUCUUCUUUGAUCUCCCAACUACUCCUCCUGCUAUUGCUUCUCUUCCCUUCCUCCAACCCACAUUCUCUUUUGUCCAAUUCUUCAUCUGAUUCCAAUUUCUAUGCUAAUCUCUUUCCUCUCUUCAAUCACUUCCUGUUUUCCCAGCAAAUUGCUGCAUCCCUUUCGUUUCUCUCCGUUUCGCGUAAGAGGAAGAGGACGCAUUCGUCGGAGCUGCUUGAAUUAGGGCCAUCCGAUAGCGGUGGUGAGGACGGCGGCCGUGGACGAGUUCAUCUGUUGCGGACUCGGAGUCCUGAUUCUUUCAGGAAUCACUUUCGGAUGACCUCCUCGACGUUUGAAUGGCUCUCUGGUUUGCUCGAGCCGCUUCUCGAGUGUCGUGACCCGGUAGGUUCGCCUCUUGAUCUCUCCGCUGAGAUUCGACUCGGUGUUGGCUUGUCCCGGCUGGCCACAGGCUGCGAUUUCUCGACGAUUUCGGACCAAUUUGGCGUCUCGGAGUCGGUAGCGAGGUUCUGUGCUAAGCAAUUGUGUCGUGUUCUCUGCACUAAUUUUCGCUUUUGGGUUGAAUUCCCUUGCCCCAGUGAGCUCGAAUUAACAUCCUCAGCCUUUGAAGAUAUUGCUGGGCUUCCGAAUUGCUGUGGCGUGAUUUCUUGUACAAGGUUCAAGAUCAUUAGAAAUACCAAUUUUUAUGAAGAUAGCAUCGCUACUCAACUUGUUGUUGAUUCCUCGUCACGAAUCCUUAGUAUUGUUGCAGGAUUUCGUGGCGAUAAAGACGACUCCACGGUGCUUAUGUCCACAACGCUGUUUAAAGACAUUGAAGAAGAAAGGCUACUGGGUUCUCCUCCUGUUUACCUUCAUGGGGUGGCUGUGAAUCAAUACUUGUUUGGACAUGGCGACUAUCCUUUGCUUCCAUGGUUAAUGGUGCCUUUUGCAGGAGCUGUUUCAGGGUCAACUGAAGAGAGUUUCAAUGAAGCUCAUCGCUUGAUGUCCAUUCCAGCUCUGAAAGCCAUCAUUAGUUUGAGAAAUUGGGGAGUUUUGAGCCAACCAAUGCAUGAGGAAUUCAAAACUGCUGUUGCAUACAUUGGUGCUUGCUCAAUUCUUCACAAUGCUUUGUUGAUGAGGGAGGAUUUUACUGCCAUGGCUGAUGAAUGGGAGAGCUUAGCUUCACUCGAUCAUAGCUCUCAGUAUGUUGGUAUUGGAUUGAAUGAGGAUUCACCUGAUGAGAAGGCUUCUAUGAUACAGAAGGCCUUGGCUCUGAGAGCUAGAGAGCUUCACACUUAAAAUUUCAAGCUCAAGAAUCCAGUUGAUUGGUGGAAUAAGUACAGAUCAUUUGAAAGAGACUUCAUCUCUUAGGAUAUUUAUUGAAGGCAGCUCAUCCAGCUUCAUUCAACAAUUACUAUUGUAGGAAUUUGAUGGAACAACUGAAAAUAAGGCUUUUGGUAGAGCAGAGAAAGCAAGAGAAGAUCAGUGCCAAUAGUUUGAACUCAAGACCCAAGAAGUAUUUUCAUAUUCCUAGUUCUUUUUUUUUUUUAGUUGAAAUGGGACGUUUCAAACUUCUAACCUCUUGAUCGAGGAUAUAUAUCUUAAUCAGUUAAGUGUUGC